UGUCCAGGGGCGGGAAUCGAACCCACGACCUUCCGCUUACCGGGCAGAUGCCAUGUCCACUAGGCUAGC